rnacentral:siRNA from 1 species
AUGUCUUAUUUCACUCCAAAAGC